UAGCAUAUCAAUAAGCGGAGGAAAAGAAACCAACAGGGAUUGCCCUAGUAACGGCGAGUGAAGCGGCAACAGCUCAAAUUUGAAAUCUGGCUCUUUUAGAGUCCGAGUUGUAAUUUGCAGAGGGCGCUUUGGCUUUGGCAGCGGUCCAAGUUCCUUGGAACAGGACGUCACAGAGGGUGAGAAUCCCGUACGUGGUCGCUGGCUAUUGCCGUGUAAAGCCCCUUCGACGAGUCGAGUUGUUUGGGAAUGCAGCUCUAAAUGGGAGGUACAUUUCUUCUAAAGCUAAAUAUUGGCCAGAGACCGAUAGCGCACAAGUAGAGUGAUCGAAAGAUGAAAAGCACUUUGGAAAGAGAGUCAAACAGCACGUGAAAUUGUUGAAAGGGAAGCGCUUGCAGCCAGACUUGCUUACAGUUGCUCAUCCGGGUUUCUACCCGGUGCACUCUUCUGUAGGCAGGCCAGCAUCAGUUUGGGCGGUAGGAUAAAGGUCUCUGUCACGUACCUCCUUUCGGGGAGGCCUUAUAGGGGAGACGACAUACUACCAGCCUGGACUGAGGUCCGCGCAUCUGCUAGGAUGCUGGCGUAAUGGCUGUAAGCGGCCCGUCUUGAAACACGGACCAAGGAGUCUAACAUCUAUGCGAGUGUUUGGGUGUCAAGCCCGAGCGCGUAAUGAAAGUGAACGGAGGUGGGAACCCGCAAGGGUGCACCAUCGACCGAUCCUGAUGUCUUCGGAAGGAUUUGAGUAAGAGCAUGGCUGUUGGGACCCGAAAGAUGGUGAACUAUGCUUGAAUAGGGUGAAGCCAGAGGAAACUCUGGUGGAGGCUCGCAGCGGUUCUGACGUGCAAAUCGAUCGUCAAAUUUGGGCAUAGGGGCGAAAGACUAAUCGAACUAUCUAGUAGCUGGUUCCUGCG
rnacentral:rRNA from 1 species